rnacentral:rRNA from 1 species
AUUGAACGCUGGCGGCAUGCCUUACACAUGCAAGUCGAACGGCAGCACGGGAGCAAUCCUGGUGGCGAGUGGCGAACGGGUGAGUAAAGUAUCGGAACGUGCCCAGUCGUGGGGGAUAACGUAGCGAAAGUUACGCUAAUACCGCAUACGAUCUAUGGAUGAAAGCGGGGGAUCGCAAGACCUCGCGCGAUUGGAGCGGCCGAUAUCAGAUUAGGUAGUUGGUGGGGUAAAGGCUCACCAAGCCGACGAUCUGUAGCUGGUCUGAGAGGACGACCAGCCACACUGGGAGUGAGACAAGGCCCAGACUCCUACGGGAGGCAGCAGUGGGGAAUUUUGGACAAUGGGCGAAAGCCUGAUCCAGCCAUGCCGCGUGCAGGAUGAAGGCCUUCGGGUUGUAAACUGCUUUUGUACGGAACGAAAAGGUUUGGCCUAAUAAGCUGAGCUCAUGACGGUACCGUAAGAAUAAGCACCGGCUAACUACGUGCCAGCAGCCGCCGUAA